AUUUGAACGCCACACUCAGACAGGUGCACACUGUGGUAUAUUGUGUUAGAUCUCCGCCAAAAUACGAUUGAUUUUACGGACAAAAGUGUGUUUUAUUAGCUGUACGUGUAGAGAUAAGUUCCCGACAACAACAACUAGUGUUUGUGGUGACGUUAGAUGCUUGAAAUGUAUGAAGAGCAAGUUGCUAACUCUGUUAGCUUGAUGUUGUCGAUAACUUUGUUAGCUUGAUGUCGCCGCGGCUAAGCUAAUGCUCGUGAUGUAACUGUUUGAGCAGCAAGAUGAAUUUAUUUCAUGUGGUUUUAUUUCAGUGUUGCUGUGUUGAACUAUGAUGAGAGCUGACUGUGGAGAAGUAUAUUUGUCCGUGUUUCUCAUUAGCAUUAAAUGUGGGUCGAGCUGGACAGUGGCCGCGUGCGCACCAUUAUUACUAACCCCCUAAAAAGGCAAGGUGACGUUUGUCAGAGGGAAAGGUCCAGAAGUUCCCGGGCAGUUGUUGUGCUGUACUGUGGGGGUUGUUAGUUUCAACAACUUCACUGCAGGAGCGGCUGUGGUAUCGUGGAACACACUGUGGAGCCGUCAGCUGUGAUCAUUUUUCUGUGUGUGUCAGUCUGUGCACAUUCGUCAUGCAUGUCAAAGCACAAAAAAACAAACAAUGUACAAUCAGAAAUGACCAAUAACAAAUGCAGUGGUUCAAUAAAUAUGCACUGGUUCAACUUU